rnacentral:tRNA from 1 species
AUUUAUAUAUUAUAAAUAAAUAUUUUUAACUUCCAAUUAAAAAAUCUAGAAUUAAAAUCUAGUAUAAAUA